rnacentral:lncRNA from 1 species
GGAUACAUGGAAUUGGGAUCUCUGUUGCAUGCAAAUCUUUCUAUCGGGAAAGCCUCGCUUAUUCAAAGGGCUUCUUAUUUAGAACCCUUUUUUUUGCUUAGUUGUAAGUAAGCGUUGGUAGGAGCGGCGGGAUGAUGAUGAGUAUAUAAAUCAAUAAAGACCAAAAAAUAAUAAAUGGCAAGAUAAAUUAGAUAUCUAUGGAAAAAAU